rnacentral:lncRNA from 1 species
AUUUGAUAUGUUAAAAGAUAAUUUACCAGCGAAUGUAUUUGAUAUAUUAUGUCAUAUACACGAAUUAUCGGAAACAUAUAGUAUAAACCAUAACGAUGUAAAUUUUAAGAAACUAAAAGAAUAUGUUUAUAAUUUAGAAGAUGCUCAUCUAGGUACUAUUGUAAAUGCAUUCGGACAAAUGUGUGUUUUAUCUAAUUUUGCUGAAUGGGCACAUAGAGGUAGAAGGAGAAAAGCAUUUGAAAAAUCAUUAACACCAGAUGAUACAUUAUAUGGUUCUAUAUAUGAAACAUUAAAAGGUACAUUUCAUAUAUUAAUUAAUAAUGGUUUAAAUAUAAAUAAUAUAUAUGAACAAUUAUGUAAGCAAACUAUCGAAUUUGUAUUAACUACUCAUCCUACUCAAGCUAUAAGAACAACUCUGUUAAAAAAUUAUAUAUAUCUAGCUGAAUUAUUAUUAAAGUUAGAUAAUAUAGAUUUAGAAUUAUAUAAAAAAAAAAUUUUGUAUGAUAAUUUGAAAACUUCGUUAUUAUCAUCAUGGAAAACAGAUGGUAUUAGAAGAAUCAAACCAACACCAAUAGAUGAAGCAAUUUCUUUAAUAGAUAUAGUAGAAACUUGUAUAUUUUAUAGAAUUCCAAGAAUUAUUAGGUAUAUUGAUAAUGUAUUACUAGAAUAUAAUUUACCUCCUAUAAAAUUAGAGUCGAAUUUAUGUUUAUUUUCGUCAUGGGCAGGUGGAGAUCGUGAUGGAAACCCAUAUGUUUUACCAGAAACAACUAGAUAUGUUUGUUAUAUGAAUAAAAUAAGAGGUUGUAAGUUAUUUAUUCCAAUGAUAAAAAAGUUGAUUAGAGAGUUAGCAUUACAUCAAAGUACAUCCCAUUUUAGAAAAUAUGUAAUCGAAUUAGAGAAUAACAUAUCUGAUUAUAUUUUUGAUCAAAAUAAAAAGUUUGUAGGAAAAAAGUUUCAAUGGUUUAGUCCUUUUUCCAAAUCAAAUGAAAAAGAAAUAUACAGGAGAGCUUUACUAGUAGUUUGGAUAAAAUUGAAAAGCGUAAUAAAAGUAUAUAAGUCAUUAAUAGCUAAACAAGGUAUUGAUCAUGAUUUUGAAAAAUUAAUGUUUAAAGAUUCAAAAGAGUUAGAAGAAAUAUUAAAUGAAUGUUAUAAAAGUUUAAUUGAGUCAGGUAAUCAGUUAAUAGCAGAAGGUUAUUUAAAAGAUGUUAUUAGGAAUGUUAAAAUAUUUGGUCUUCAUUUAUUAAAACUAGAUAUUAGACAAGAAGCAGAAAAACAUAUUGUAGCUAUUGAUUAUGUAUGUAAAAAAUUAAACAUGCAAAAAAUUUACUCUCAAUUUAAUGAAAAAGAAAAAAUGGCAUUUUUAACAGAAGUACUUGCAUCGAACAGACCAUUAAUACCUAAUAAUAUAGAACAAGAAGAAGAUGUAUGUAGCACAUUUUUAAACAUUUCUAAAACAUUUGAUGUAUGCUCACAAAUAGAUGAAAGUUCAUUAGGUGCAUACAUUAUAUCUAUGUGUAAUAACGCAUCUGAUGUUUUAUUAGUAGAAUUAUUUCAAAAAGAAUUUAAAAAAAACACACAAAGAAAAACACAACGAGUAGUUCCAUUAUUAGAAACUAUACAAUCUUUACAAAAUUCAUUUAUUUUGUUAGAAAAUUUAUUAAAAAAUAAAUGGUAUCGUAAUCAUUUAGCUACCUAUUUUGAUAAUAAACAAGAAAUUAUGAUUGGAUAUUCAGAUUCUGGUAAAGAUGGUGGAAGGUUGACAUCUGCUUGGGAAUUAUUUCAAGCACAAGAAAGAUUAGUAGAAAUUGGUAAAAAAUAUUUUGUUGAAAUUUGUUUUUUCCAUGGUAGAGGUGGUAGUGUAAGUCGAGGUGGAGGACCACAACAUUUAGCUAUAUUAUCACAACCAAUUGACACUAUUAAAAAUUAUUUAAGGGUAACUAUUCAAGGAGAAGUAAUAGCACAAGAUUUUGGAUUAAAAGGUAUGAUGCUAAGAUCGAUUGAAACAUAUAUAAGUGCCGUUUUAAAAUGUUCAUUAUUGAAAAAUACAGUUUCUAUCAAAAAUGAAUGGAGGUGUAUUAUGAACGAAAUAAGUGAUUUAUCUACUUUAGAAUAUAAAAAAGUAGUUAAAGAAAAUAAAGAUUUUGUUAAAUAUUUUAGAUAUGCAACACCAGAAGUAGAGUUAGGAAAACUAAAUUUAGGUUCUAGACCAAGUAAAAGAAAAACUGGUAGUGUCGAAUCUUUAAGAGCAAUACCAUGGGUAUUCUCAUGGACACAAAACCGUAUGCAUUUAUCUGUUUGGUUAGGAAUUGAACAAGUAUAUGAUUAUGUUAUUAAAGAUAAAGAAAAAUUAAAAAUUAUACAAGAUAUGUAUACACAUUGGCCUUUUUUUAAAAGCUUUUUUAAUUUAAUCAGUAUGGUUAUGGCAAAAGCAAGUGUACAUAUUGCUGAAGAAUAUGACAUUCUUGUACCAGACGAAUUAAAAUACAUAGGUAUUAUGUUAAGAGAAAAACUAACAAAAGCAAUGAAUUUAACUUUUCUUGUUACGAAUGAGCAGAAUUUUUGUGAUAAUGAUCAAAUUACUAAGAGGUCGAUCGAAAGUAGGACCAAGUGGGUUGAUGUCUGUAACUUAAUACAAAUACAAGCACUUAAAAGGUUAAGGGAGAAGCAAAGUUUACGUAUGGGUAUCGAUGGCGCAUCAUGUGAUGAAACAAAGGGCAACAUGCAGUGUAUAAAUCAGUUAGUUUGUAAUAAUAAUAAUAAUAAUAAUAAUAAUAAUAAUAAUAAUAAUAAUAAUAAUAAUAAUAAUGAUGAUGAUGAUGAUGUUGAUGAUGGUGUGAAAAUUGUGGUAACAGAAGACGCGGGAGUAACAGCAGGAGCGACGGGAGACCUGUACAACAUUACUACUACUACUACUAAUACUAAUACUACUAAUAAUACUAAUAAUACUACUAAUAAUACUAAUAAUACUACUAAUAAUACUACUAAUAAUACUACCACUAAUACUACUACUACUACUACUGGAACAGGUGGCAUAAGCAACACCGACGAUACGAAAAACAAAUCCCAACAACACUCAACAGAAACAAAUUAUAUUAACAAAUCUGUAACACAUUUAAACGAAUAUAUUAACCAGGCUAACAC